GAGCGUGCGGGCGAUACGGGCAGACUUGAGUACUGCAGGGGAGACUGGAAUUCCUGGUGUAGCGGUGGAAUGCGCAGAUAUCAGGAGGAACACCGGUGGCGAAGGCGGGUCUCUGGGCAGUAACUGACGCUGAGGAGCGAAAGCGUGGGGAGCGAACAGGAUUAGAUACCCUGGUAGUCCACGCCGUAAACGGUGGGUACUAGGUGUGGGUUUCCUUCCUUGGGAUCCGUGCCGUAGCUAACGCAUUAAGUACCCCGCCUGGGGAGUACGUCCGCAAGGCUAAAACUCAAAGAAAUUGACGGGGGCCCGCACAAGCGGCGGAGCAUGUGGAUUAAUUCGAUGCAACGCGAAGAACCUUACCUGGGUUUGACAUGCACAGGACGCCGGCAGAGAUGUCGGUUCCCUUGUGGCCUGUGUGCAGGUGGUGCAUGGCUGUCGUCAGCUCGUGUCGUGAGAUGUUGGGUUAAGUCCCGCAACGAGCGCAACCCUUGUCUCAUGUUGCCAGCGGGUAAUGCCGGGGACUCGUGAGAGACUGCCGGGGUCAACUCGGAGGAAGGUGGGGAUGACGUCAAGUCAUCAUGCCCCUUAUGUCCAGGGCUUCACACAUGCUACAAUGGCCGGUACAAAGGGC
rnacentral:rRNA from 1 species